rnacentral:rRNA from 1 species
AUUGAACGCUGGCGGCAGGCUUAACACAUGCAAGUCGAGCGGGGUGAUGGUGCUUGCACUAUCACUUAGCGGCGGACAGGUGAGUAAUGCUUAGGAAUCUGCCUAUUAGUGGGGGACAACAUCUCGAGAGGGAUGCUAAUACCGCAUACGUCCUACGGGAGAAAGCAGGGGAUCACUUGUGACCUUGCGCUAAUAGAUGAGACUAAGUCGGAUUAGCUAGCUGGUGGGGUAAAGGCCUACCGAGGCGACGAUCUGUAGCGGGUCUGAGAGGAUGAUCCGCCACACUGGGACUGAGACACGGCCCAGACUCCUACGGGAGGCAGCAGUGGGGAAUAUUGGACAAUGGGGGGAACCCUGAUCCAGCCAUGCCGCGUGUGUGAAGAAGGCCUUAUGGUUGUAAAGCACUUUAAGCGAGGAGGAGGCUUACCUAGUUAAUACCUGGGAUAAGUGGACGUUACUCGCAGAAUAAGCACCGGCUAACUCUGUGCCAGCCGCCGCGGUAACAC